GUCUACCUGCCCUAUGAUUAUUUUAAAUGGCCGCGAUAUUUUGAUCGUGCAAAGGUAGCAUAAUCAUUAGUUUUUUAAUUAAGAACUGGUAUGAAAGGUUGAACGAGAAAAAUUCUGUCUCAAUUUAAAUGUUUUAGAAUUUUAUUUUUAAGUUAAAAAGCUUAAAUGAGUUUAAAAGACGAGAAGACCCUAUAGAGUUUUAUAUUAUAUUAUAUUUAUAUAAAUUUUAGAAUUUUUUUUAUUAAUUAUAAUAAUUUUAUUUAAUUGGGGUGAUUUAAAAAUUUAAUAAACUUUUUAUUAUAAAAUUUUCAUUAAUUUAUGUUUGAAUGAUCCAUUAAUUGUGAUUAGAAGAUUAAAUUACCUUAGGGAUAACAGCGUUAUUUUUUUUGAGAGUUCUUAUCGAAAAAAAAGUUUGCGACCUCGAGU
rnacentral:rRNA from 1 species